AAGUCGUAACAAGGUUUCCGUAGGUGAACCUGCGGAAGGAUCAUUAUCGUGGGGCUUCGGCCCUCUCGAGAUAGAACCCUUGCCUUUUUGAGUACCUUUCGUUUCCUCGGCGGGCUCGCCUGCCAAUGGGGACCCCAAUUAACCCUUUGUAAUACCUGUAAUCGUCUGACAAAACAAACAAAAAUUAAAACUUUCAACAACGGAUCUCUUGGUUCUG
rnacentral:misc_RNA from 1 species